rnacentral:rRNA from 1 species
ACGCUCCAUGCAAGUCGAGCGGUACAGAAGUAUUGCUACUUUGCUGACAGCGGGGACGGGUGAGUAAUGCUUGGGAAUAUGCCUUUUGGUGGGGGACAACAGUUGGAAACGACUGCUAAUACCGCAUAAUGUCUACGGACCAAAGUGGGGGACCUUCGGGCCUCACGCCAAAAGAUUAGCCCAAGUGGGAUUAGCUAGUUGGUAAGGUAAUGGCUUACCAAGGCAACGAUCCCUAGCUGGUUUGAAGGAUGAUCAGCCACACUGGGACUGAGACACGGCCCAGACUCCUACGGGAGGCAGCAGUGGGGAAUAUUGCACAAUGGGCGCAAGCCUGAUGCAGCCAUGCCGCGUGUGUGAAGAAGGCCUUCGGGUUGUAAAACACUUUCAGUAAGGAGGAAAGGGUAGUCUUUAAUAGAGGCUAUCUGUGACGUUACUUACAGAAGAAGCACCGGCUAACUCCGUGCCAGCAGCCGCGGUAAUACGGAGGGUGCGAGCGUUAAUCGGAAUUACUGGGCGUAAAGCGUACGCAGCGGUUUGUUAAGCGAGAUGUGAAAGCCCCGGGCUCAACCUGGGAACUGCAUUUCGAACUGGCAAACUAGAGUGUGAUAGAGGGUGGUAGAAUUUCAGGUGUAGCGGUGAAAUGCGUAGAGAUCUGAAGGAGUACCGAUGGCGAAGGCAGCCACCUGGGUCAACACUGACGCUCAUGUACGAAAGCGUGGGGAGCAAACAGGAUUAGAUACCCUGGUAGUCCACGCCGUAACGAUGUCUACUAAAGCUCGGAGCCUCGGUUCUGUUUUUCAAAGCUACGCAUUAAGUAGACCGCCUGGGGAGUACGGCCGCAAGGUUAAAACUCAAAUGAAUUGACGGGGGCCCGCACAAGCGGUGGAGCAUGUGGUUUAAUUCGAUGCAACGCGAAGAACCUUACCUACACUUGACAUACAGAACUUACCAGAGAUGGUUUGGUGCCUUCGGUCUGAUACGCUGCAUGUGUCGUCAGCUGUUGGUUGGGUCCCAACGAACCUAUCGCUAGCGUAUGUGAUCUAGGACUGCCGGCUCGAGAAGGUGGGACCACUCAUCCUCAGUUGAAGGUUAC